AUUGAACGCUGGCGGCAGGCCUAACACAUGCAAGUCGAGCGAGCGGCGGACGGGUGCGUAAUGUAUGGGGACUGCCCGAUAGAGGGGGAUAACUACUGGAAACGGUAGCUAAUCCCGCAUACUAUCGGAUAACCCAUAUGGGAUUAGCUAGUCGGUGAGGUAAUGGCUCACCUAGGCGACGAGCCCUAGAGGGUCUGCGAGGAUGAUCGGCCACACUGGGACGUAGACACGGCCCAGACGCCUACGGAGGCAGCAGUGGGGAAUAUUGCACAAUGGGCGCAAGCCUGAUGCAGCCAUGCCGCGUGUAUGAAGAAGGCCCUAGGGUUGUAAAGUACUGUCAGUCGGGAGGCGUUACCGACAGAAGAAGCACCGGCUAACUCCGUGCCAGCAGCCGCGGUAAUAC
rnacentral:rRNA from 1 species